rnacentral:rRNA from 1 species
AUUGAACGCUGGCGGCAUGCUUUACACAUGCAAGUCGAACGGUAACAGGCCGCAAGGUGCUGACGAGUGGCGAACGGGUGAGUAAUGCAUCGGAACGUGCCCAGUCGUGGGGGAUAACGCAGCGAAAGCUGCGCUAAUACCGCAUACGAUCUAUGGAUGAAAGCGGGGGACCGUAAGGCCUCGCGCGAUUGGAGCGGCCGAUGUCAGAUUAGGUAGUUGGUGGGGUAAAGGCCCACCAAGCCAACGAUCUGUAGCUGGUCUGAGAGGACGACCAGCCACACUGGGGCUGAGACACGGCCCAGACUCCUACGGGAGGCAGCAGUGGGGAAUUUUGGACAAUGGGCGAAAGCCUGAUCCAGCAAUGCCGCGUGCAGGAUGAAGGCCUUCGGGUUGUAAACUGCUUUUGUACGGAACGAAAAGCUCUGGGUUAAUACCCUGGGGUCAUGACGGUACCGUAAGAAUAAGCACCGGCUAACUACGUGCCAGCAGCCGCGGUAAAAC